rnacentral:rRNA from 1 species
UCGCUCUUCAACGAGGAAUCCCUAGUAAGCACAAGUCAUCAGCUUGUGCUGAUUACGUCCCUGCCCUUUGUACACACCGCCCGUCGCUACUACCGAUUGAAUGGCUUAGUGAGGCCUUCGGAUUGUUGGUAAAAAACUGUAACAGGUUUUCUGCUGACGAGAAGUUGGUCAAACUUGGUCAUUUAGAGGAAGUAAAAGUCGUAACAAGGUUUCCGUAGGUGAACCUGCGGAAGGAUCAUUACAAAUCGUUGGCGAAUCUCGCCACUUUUUUUUCGUAUUUAAAACAUCCGCUCAUAAAAAAAAAUUUUAAUAAUAAAAUUAAAAAAAGAUCACUUUCAACAACGGAUCUCUUGGCUCUCGCAUCGAUGAAGAACGUAGCGAAGUGCGAUAAGUAAUGUGAAUUGCAGAAUUCCGUGAAUCAUCGAAUUUUUGAACGCAAAUUGCACUCUCCUUGGAGAGUAUGCCUGUUUGAGGGUCAGCCUAAAAAAAAUCGACAUCGUUGCUGUUUCGUGGUAGCGUUCGUCGGAAAUUGGGUCAUCUUAAACCUUUUGGUUUAAGCGACUUAAAAUUUUCUUUUUGAUUCCAUGAACGUUUCUAAGAUUUAUUUCUUUACACGUUUAAGGUAUCGAUUUUAUUAGACGUGAUCGCCAUAUCUAAUCGCGUCCAUAAUCUUUCAUUAACUGACCUCAGACAGGUAAGAGUACCCGCUGAACUUAAGCAUAUCAAUAAGCGGAGGAAAAGAAAAUAACAAUGAUUCCCUUAAGUAACGGCGAGUGAAGGGGAAAAGCUCAAAUUUUAAAUCGGCCUAGGUUUACCUAGUCGAGUUGUAAUUUGAAGAAGCGUUUACCGCAUCCAGGUCGGCCCAAAUCCUUUGGGAUAAGGUAUCAUUGGAGGUGAGAAUCCCGUCCGGGUGACCUCAGGAUGUUUUACGUUUACCGCUUCUCUUAGAAGUCGAGUUGUUUGGGAAUGCAGCUCAAAUGGUAAGUAAAUUUCCUCCUUAAGCUAAUACCCGCCAGAGACCGAUAUGCGUACCAGUAC